GGGAGUCACGCCAGCUCCAACCAGGUCUAGAACCCAAACCUUCAACCCCUGAGCUUUCCUGCCUUCGAGUCCUCGGAGCUCUCCUGGAGGCUGAGCAGGCAACAGAGCCUGCUCCUCAGCUGGAUGUGGCCCGUGGGAGGUGGAGAAACUGAGGCUCAGAUAAAUGACUAAGAAGUAAAGUGAGGUCCCAUAGCCAGUGAAUGGCAGAGCAGGGAUUCGAACCCAGGUCUCUCAUCUGGGAAGUGGGAUGAUAGCGCCAACCUAGCUGGAUUGCUGUGACUGCCAGCACAAUGCCUUCUAAGGGUUCAAGGCUGCCUUUCAGUGACAGGCUGCUGAGGACACCCUAGGCCAGGAGCCACCCCACCUGGCCCACCGAGGCUCUGGACCCUCCCAGGGCUAUUGCUUCUCUGGAGUUGGGUGAUGAACAGAGGGUUGGACCCCCCAAGCCCUGCAUGGGGGUAGAGGCCCUCCCUGAGAAGGACCUCCAGAGCCCAGCUCUGCUCUCCCAGGGUGUGGUUCCAUGGGAGGUGGGCUCCACUGGUCCUAAGCUCUGGGCAGGUUGGCAUCCCCAGAGGGCAAUGCUGACAACACCUCCCUUGGCACCCCCAAGGGUUCGUUUCUCAGCAGCAACUUCCAAAGGCUGUUCCCCCAGGUCUCUGUCCCUUUCCUGAGCCCUCCCCUGUCCUUCUCCAGGCAACCCACAGCCCCAGCAGCCUGUGCACAUUUAGCGCUGGAUCCCUGAUCCCUUGGGCUUGGCCUCACUCCUCUCUGGCUCCAUGCCCCCAGAUCUCUUUGGCAUGACCAACAACUGGCUGGCGAGCCCAGAGAUGGGGGAAGAAGGGCCCUGAGCCAUGAGUGCACCUCACUGCAUGGCCCUGGUCAGGUCCCUCUGCCUCCCGGGGCCUCACUGUGUCCACAGCCUCCUGCACGCCACGAAGCACCUCCCCGAUGUGCCAGCUCCCCCAGCACCAGCCUCAUCCCAAGGAAGGAGGAGGCGACUCCCACUACUCAAGGGGCUGUUCCCCAUGGCACCCCUCAGGCCGCUGCAGGAGACUAUAAGCCCCUCACAACCGAGGCCAUUUUCCCCACUCCCUUCCCCGCAAGCCCUAAAUGGCCCAGCAACAACUCUGAACUCUGAUCUCGGUCAGCCCAGCACGGGUGGGGCAGGAGGUUCUGUCAACAGCGAGAGAAACUCGUUAACUGAAUGUCAAUAGGAUUAAAGGCUCUGAUGGUCC
rnacentral:lncRNA from 1 species